rnacentral:rRNA from 1 species
AGUGAACGCUGGCGGUAGGCCUAACACAUGCAAGUCGAACGGCAGCACAGUAAGAGCUUGCUCUUACGGGUGGCGAGUGGCGGACGGGUGAGGAAUACAUCGGAAUCUACUUUUUCGUGGGGGAUAACGUAGGGAAACUUACGCUAAUACCGCAUACGACCUACGGGUGAAAGCAGGGGAUCUUCGGACCUUGUGCGAUUGAAUGAGCCGAUGUCGGAUUAGCUAGUUGGCGGGGUAAAGGCCCACCAAGGCGACGAUCCGUAGCUGGUCUGAGAGGAUGAUCAGCCACACUGGAACUGAGACACGGUCCAGACUCCUACGGGAGGCAGCAGUGGGGAAUAUUGGACAAUGGGCGCAAGCCUGAUCCAGCCAUACCGCGUGGGUGAAGAAGGCGUUCGGGUUGUAAAGCCCUUUUGUUGGGAAAGAAAAGCAGCAGGUUAAUACCCCGCUGUUCUGACGGUACCCGAAGAAUAAGCACCGGCUAACUUCGUG